UUCCAACGUCCAAAAGCUCUCUCUCCAUUCUCUAGUUUCAAGUCUUUGCGUUUUCAAGCAAAGAGAAGAAGAGAAGAAGAAGCCGUGAAGCCUCCUAGUCGCCCUCAUCCACCUUGAAGCCGUGAAGCCUUGGAACCUUGCUUUCAAGAUUCAAGAGUCCAACGUCUCAAGCUCUCCACCAUCAUCUCCAUUCACGGGUUAAAUUGCGUGCUACUUUUAGCGAUGACACAUAGAUUUGAAGAAUUGUAUCCUUAUUAUGGAACUUCUUCAUAAUUUCCAACUCAGCUAACUUAAAUGGAGGAUUUGAGAUGUUUAAGGACUUUGACUCCUCCAACGGUAAAGCCCAAGUGAGGUAAUUUUAGGAAAGUCAUAACAUUCUCAAAAUGAUCUUCAAUAGUUUCAAGUUUUAGUAUAUCUCCUGAAUCUUGGUGAAAGUCUUCUUUUACUAGCUAGGUUUCUUUCUCAUUCACCUUAUUUGAGGGUCUAAUUUCUUGCCUUUUUAUUUCUAAUCGUCACCACUUCCCUUUGGUGGCAUCGUUUCUUAGUCUUUGUCAGGGGAGAAAAUGGUUGAUCUCUAGAUAUUCGACCAUACCAUCUGUUGUUUGAUAAGCUCUUUUCAUGCGACUUAACUAUCUUAUUUUUCUAUAUUUUCUUUGGAUAGUUUAUUUAUUUUUCAAGUAAUUUAUUUGUUUUAUGUUUGACUUGAUACACAUUUAUGCAAACGUACGUAUCAUUGUCAAGAUAGGGAAGUAUUAUGCCCAAAGUUAUCAUACCACGGGGAUUAGUGGCUAACCCACAAUCCUUGGGUAAUCGGAAAUAAAGACACUUAGCAAAAAAAAGAAAAAUAAAAAUAAAAGAAAAUAAAAAAAUAAAAAUGCUACUCUAAAGUACUAAGCCGUAGCAAUGCUCGGGUUUGGUUCUCACCAAAGCCUAAUAAAAACUAAGAGCCUAGUGGUGGUUAUUUACAAUGAGUCGAAAUUGUCACCGAUAAUUGUAAUUUAAAUUUCAAAUAACUAACGAGCAAGAAUUUAAAUGAAAAUUUUAACUAAUAACUAAAUUAAAUAAAGGGAAAAAAAAGUAAGAAAUAAAUAUAAAUAGGGGAUUGGUAGCUAGGGAUGAAUCCUAACCCUAAUUCAAUACUCUAGAUGCUAAUUUGAUUUACGUGCAAUUUAUUAAAGAUGGUAGAAGCCGUACCCAAGGCUUUUUAAGGCUCAAGGGCUGAAAUUCUCUUUCAUGGUAUUCCUACUCCGGUUGAAGGGCCGUAGGAACUCACUUGACAUGAAUUAGAGCCGAUUCAAAGGUCACUAAUUCACAUCAAGAAGCCUAGAGUUCGAGGAAUUAGGCAACCAAGCUCACCAUAAUUGCGAUCAAGCUAAUCAUGUAGUGAACCAUGCUUGUACCUCCCACGAAUAUCAAAUCGGGGUUCUAGUUCUAAAAUCUAAGGAUGUCAUCCCCUAAAUUUUAAUCUAGACUUAUUAAAACACAUACCCAAGAGUUGACAAUUCCUAAGCCUGCAUUCUAAUCAAUUAUCACAAAACACAAGCAUCCAAUAAUUAACAAAUUCUACAUAUAAAUUAAAUUAAGCAUCUAUUACAUCAAAUUUGGAUUAGUGCACACAACCCUAACCCCCAACAAAGAAAUUACUCACAACCCAUAAUUAUAGACAUUAAAAUUACAAAAUUCAAAGAGGAAAAAGUGAAGAGAAGUAUGGAGUAACAAGAACAAACCACAAAUUGCUAUAGAGCAAUUAUGGCUAGCCUUGAUUUACGGCUCCCCACUAUUACCCAAAUUUGAUAAUGAUGAAGCUCUUAAUGCUUGGGCUUCCCCCUUUGAAUAUUGUGAAAUUGAUGAGAAGAUGGAAUUUUGGUGAGGAGGUGUGGAUCCUGGUGAGGAGAGGGAAUUUUGGUGAGGUGGUGUGGAUCUUGGUGAGGAGAGGAAAAGAUGAGAAGAAGGAAUUUUGGUGAGGUGGAGUGGUUCUUGGCAAGAAGGAAAAAAUGGAGAAGGAAAGGAAAGAGAGCGGCCCAAAGGGCUGCCUCUGUUUUGGUGGUCGGCUAGAGUAGGUCGGGCUGUUGAUGUUAGGAGGAAAAUGGGUGUAUGGGGUCCUGGUGCUGGUCGAAGGGUGAGAAGAGAAUCUGGUAGACACGUGGGUGGUGGUGAUUGCAAGAAAGGAAAAUGAAUGGAUGAUUGGCAGGUUGUGUGCGUGAGGUAGAGAGAAUGAAGGAUAAGGUCACGUGGCUGAUAGGUUUUGGAAGUGAAUGAAAACGAGUAGUUGCCAAGUGUCAAAUGGAUAAUUUACCAAUGGGUAAUUAUCAAAGCUUGCUGCACGUUUUGUGUUUUUGAUUAAUUACCCAAUUAGGCUUAAUCAAGUAAUUAAGCUUAAUUAAGUAAUUAACAAAUCCACAAUUUUAUUCUUUCGUCGAAAACUCAAAUUUUCACCACUUUCAUCAAAAAUAGAUUAAUUACAUAUUAAUUGACUUAAAGAUUAGCUUAAUUCUAGUAUUUAGAAUGCAAUUAAUGGGUAAUAAUCAAUGUUUAAUAGGGUUUUCGGUGCAAAGAAGGGAAAAAUAUGUAAGAUAGAGGUGAGUGUGCAAUUUUGGAGUCUUGUUUAAUGAGGAUUGCAAAGAAUCUAGAAAUCUUGAUGUUCUGACAAAAGAAAGAAACUUUAAUGGAUAUGAGAGAACGUGAUUUGUUCUGCGUGCAACAAAAGAAGUUUAACUAAGUAUUUUAACUGACGUGGCAAGCUCUUAUUGGUUGGAUGACAUUAUUUAAGAGAUGGACUGAUACGUUCCAUGUCGGAUUUACCCAUUUUACUAAAUAUAAGGAGAAACAUAAUCUCAGCAACACGACAGAAAAUCCUGGGAUUGCAAUCCCAGCAGCAGAUUUCAGCAGCGGGAAUCCUGAAAUGGUAAUCCCAGCAAUAGGAUUUGUGGGAUUACAAUCACAGCUAUAUGCCAAAGGCGAGGCAGCAAGGUUAACGCUACAUCACACAUCAACUCUCCUAUAAAUUGAGAGUUCUUACUAUUGUGAAAGGCAUUCAGAAACAACCCCAAAAAACCCAUAUGCAAUGCAACCCAAGAAAUUCCCCAUACUCAUCCCAAAAAACCAUCCAGACCCAACCUAGAAACACAUAUGCAAGCCAAGAAACAAAACCAAGAAAUUUCCCCAACACCUAACCCAAAAACCCACUUCCAAUCCAAAAACUCAUCAAUCAAUCCCAAUUCGAGCUUUCAUGGUUGCUGCAAAUCUCUCAUCUUCACUACAAAUCAUGCUUUUCUAGCUCCCAUGCCGCAUGCAUCUUGCCAAGCCUAUUUUGGAAUGUUCAAUUCACUGCCUUGAAUAUGUAAGGAGUUGUCAGGAAGAACACAACAGCAAGCUUCCUUGGAUUCUCAUGUCCUUCGAAGUUUGCUAGGCCUAGUCUUCGCUAACUCAUAUAAAGGGGACAAGAUUUUGGGCUCAGUCAUGGUGAUUUCACUACCGUACAACUCCGCUCAAAAGUGCCCCUACACCUGUUUAACCUACCAGUUGUUAUUUCAGUUUCUUAUUUUAGACUGCUUUGAUCACCUUGGCAUGGGGAUGUGAUCUAAAUUCAUAGUAUUUUAUUCAGGGUUUAUGACCCAACUACGAGGAGUUGAUGUAAUUUAAAUUUGUGGAUCUUUUUUGUUGAGAUAUCUAUACUCUAGAUGCUGUUUUGUUUAACUUUGUUGUGGAGUUGUUGGAUUUGGGGAGCAGGGUGGCUUCAUGGGAAUAAGGUUGAUUUGUUAGAAGUGAAAUGUGUUUUUUUUUUUUUUUUACAGGUUUUGGGUUGUCCACUUUUAGGGGAGGUUCUGCUGAAUUGUCGAUAAAAUCUUCUUUUACAAGUGGGCCCCGUAGGGCUACCUUGGAUUUCAGGGUGAAAUUUCAGGGCGGGUUCUGUCAUGGACAAGUUGACACUUCAUUACCCUUACUAUUGCCAUAUGGUCAGUAGGCUUGUGAAACUUAUG